AAAAAAAAAAUUAAACCCAGGGGGGAAAAAAACACCAAAUCUAAUAUAAAAUAGUUUCUUAGUAGGUCAUACAGAUUCUAAGACAGAUUUGAUAGUGUAAUGAUAAUCAGAAGAUCUGUCAGCUAUUAGAAGCUGGGGAUAAUGCUUUCCCAUAGACAACUGCUUGGCUGAAAAUGAUCUGGACAUUUUAGUGACUAGUGAAAUUAAUAAGAGUCAACAGUUUGACUUGGUAGCUGAGAAAGGUAAUAUGUUGUUAAGGUAUAUUAAAAAAUAGUGUUUGGUAUUAAGGCAAUAGUACUAUUAUUCUCUGACCUGGCCCAACAUCUGGAAUAAUGUAUACAUUUUUGGUGCCAUAUUUUCAAAAGGGCAUAUAGGAACUGGAGACUCUACUCAAUGGUGAUUGACUACAGACAUAACAUAUCAUAUAAUAUAAAUCAUAACACAAGAUAACAUAUUGAAGGAAUUUGAACAUUCUUGUGCCUGCAGAAGAGAAUGGUGGUAAGGAAUCAUGAGAAUUAUCUUCAAAUAUAUGGAAGAAGGGUUGGGUUUUUCUGUUUCCAUUUAGAGAGCAGAACUAGGAGCAAAGCGUGGACAUCUGACAAAUUUUUGCUUGGAGUAAUGUAAACUUCCUAAGUGAACUGUCUGAAGGGAAAAUGGACUGUCUUGAUCAAUGGUGGGUUUCUCCCCACUUGAAAUCAUCAAGCAAAAGAUGAAUGACAUUUUCCCAGGUCUAAUUUGGUGGAGAGGUGGCUGGUGGCAGUGGUGCUGGGCAUCUUGGCAUCUUGGCGUGGCUACAGCUAUUGUCCGGGUUUGGAGUAUUGGAAACUUCAUCACAGUGAGAUGGGAACCAAAUGAAGAAAUAUAUACUGGGUAUUUUCAUCAUGUCCAAUUCUUCAUGAUCUCAUUUGGAGUUUUCUUGGUAAAGAAACUGGAAUGGUUUACCAUUUCCUUCAUCACCUCACUUUACAGAAGCAUCAAUUGAGGUCAACAAGGUUGAGUGACUUUGCCAGAGUCAUACAAUCAAUACAUAUCUGAGGCCCAGUUUGAAUUCAGGUCUCCUGACUAGUACUCUAUUCACUAUGCACUUAACUGCCCCAGAAUGUAUGUAUUAUAAUAUAUAUAUAUGUAUAUAUAUAUAUAUUUGUAUUUAUAGACACAUAUAUAAAUUCAUAAAUACAAAUGAGUCACAUAGUAUGAGAAAAU
rnacentral:lncRNA from 1 species